GUAGGUGGCAAGCGUUGUCCGGAAUUAUUGGGCGUAAAGCGCGCGCAGGCGGUCCUUUAAGUCUGAUGUGAAAGCCCACGGGCUCAACCGUGGAGGGUCAUUGGAAACUGGGGGACUUGAGUACAGAAGAGGAAAGCGGAAUUCCACGUGUAGCGGUGAAAUGCGUAGAGAUGUGGAGGAACACCAGUGGCGAAGGCGGCUUUCUGGUCUGUAACUGACGCUGAGGCGCGAAAGCGUGGGGAGCAAACAGGAUUAGAUACCCUGGUAGUCCACGCCGUAAACGAUGAGUGCUAAGUGUUAGGGGGUUUCCGCCCCUUAGUGCUGCAGCUAACGCAUUAAGCACUCUGCCUGGGGAGUACGGCCGCAAAGGCUG
rnacentral:rRNA from 1 species